rnacentral:lncRNA from 1 species
AACGACCUCAUUGUGAAUCCCAGCAAUUGAGCACUCGACACAGUAAAGUUUAGUUUACUCUCAUUGUCCUUUCUCCAAUAAUGCAUUGUACGCUGGCCAAUUUAAAAUGCCACCUUGCAGAUUCUAGGUCCUUGCACUAUGAUUUACCUGGCAAAGCACCUGCAGACAUCAGCAUCCUCACGAGCAUAUAAGGCAACCCUUCCCUCUCCUCUUGUCCACAGCCCCUACCGACUAUGGAAGGCGCAUGGCUCGAGCAUCUACAUGGCUCUUGAGAGCGGAAGCAGGGUCGGGAUGAACCGCAAAGCUGAGCGCUUCAGCUUUGCGGUGCCUCUCCUGACCUCCCAGGUGGUCGCCUGAGGUACGCAAGAAUCGGCAAGUCACAAAACGGCAAUGGUGAACUCCGGCAGGAGUCCACCCCCCUUUUAUCCUUUUCUCUCCAUUCAGUUGUAUCAGGUGGAAGUCGAAUAAUCGGAAGUCUCUGUGUGUGAUGAAUCAAUGGAUGCUUCAAGUCCAUGUUUUGUUUUUCUCUUCCUUUAUUAUGUGUACUCUGGAAACACUACUAUAAAUGGCUGAUGUUCAUCUAGCAAAACCACUUUAUGGUGUCUUGUUUGAUUCUCUUGUGUCGUCUUUACCGGUUAACUUGUUAUAUAUGCUGCUUCGAAACAGAUUGGUGUAUGCUGUCUGUGCAGAAUACACUGCAUAUUUUGAACUCUAUGGCUCUUUUAAAUACGUUGACCCUACAGCGAUCUGUGCUGCUAUAAACAUAAUAUUUACAUGAUGUACUCCAAGGCAGACAUUUUCCGGAAUUUUUUAUGAGCUAAAAAACAUCUAUAUGAAAGAUGGCAAUAAGAUCUAAAACUGAAAAGAGAAGGGGAACAAGUGAUGAAAAGGUUUCCCCCUUCUGGCUGUCUGGGACUUUAGCAUAUCUUGUGGACAAGUCCUGAUUGGUACAACAACAACAACAACAACAACAACAACAAAGCCUUUAGUCCCAAACAAGUUGGGGUAGGCUAGAGGUGAAACCCAUAAGAUCUCGCAACCAAUUCAUGGCUCUGGCACAUGGAUAGCAAGCUUUCACGCACCCCUGUCCAUAGCUAGCUCUUUGGUGAUACUCCAAUCCUUCAGGUCUUUUUUAACGGACUCCUCCCAUGUCAAAUUCGGUCUACCCCGCUCUUUCUUCACAAGUCCUGAUUGGUACACUGAAAAAAAAAUUCAGCCAUGGUGCAAGCCAAUGAUGAUCUUCAUUUGUUCCUUAACGAGAUUCUCCUGUUGUGUAUUUAACGAGCUACUGUAGUGUCAAAAACGCUCUUAUAUUAUGGGACGGAGUGAGUAACAAUCAAAUCCAUGCACAUAAUAUACUAAGAUACGAGCUCUCAACUUCCGGUAUCCAGCUUCACAUGUUGCAUCAGUUAUUGCGGCCUCCUAUUUACAUGAACUGCCGGGGAAGAACAUAUCUAAAAUGCCGCCGCCUUGUGAUGAUUAUUAGCUGCUAACCGGGUCUAACUAACUGAAUGCAGGGAUUCCUCCAAGUUUAUCCACCUCUAAUCACAGAACUGAACUUCGUGAACUACCUGUAAACUCUAUCUAACCCUUUUGCAAGCUAAAAGGACAAAAAAAAAA